AUUGAACGCUGGCGGCAGGCCUAACACAUGCAAGUCGAGCGGAUGAAGGGAGCUUGCUCCUGGAUUCAGCGGCGGACGGGUGAGUAAUGCCUAGGAAUCUGCCUGGUAGUGGGGGAUAACGUCCGGAAACGGGCGCUAAUACCGCAUACGUCCUGAGGGAGAAAGUGAGGGAUCUUCGGACCUCACGCUAUCAGAUGAGCCUAGGUCGGAUUAGCUAGUUGGUGGGGUAAAGGCCUACCAAGGCGACGAUCCGUAACUGGUCUGAGAGGAUGAUCAGCCACACUGGAACUGAGACACGGUCCAGACUCCUACGGGAGGCAGCAGUGGGGAAUAUUGGACAAUGGGCGAAAGCCUGACCCAGCCAUGCCGCGUGUGUGAAGAAGGUCUUCGGAUUGUAAAGCACUUUAAGUUGGGAGGAAGGGAAGUAAGUUAAUCCCUUGCUGUUUUGACGUUACCAACAGAAUAAGCACCGGCUAACUUCGUG
rnacentral:rRNA from 1 species